rnacentral:misc_RNA from 1 species
GUGAAUCAUCGAAUCUUUGAACGCAAAUUGCACUCCCUGGUAUUCCGGGGAGUAUGCCUGCUUGAGGGUCGUUAGAAGCCAAAUCGCCGCAUCGCUCUUUUUUUGAGGGUUCUCGCGUCGGAAUUGAGCCGUCUUUCAAAUGUUAAUUCAUGUCAAAGUGGCUUUAGAUGCAUCCAUCCGGUACGAUUAAAGCGUAUUUAAGAUCAAUUUUGUUUACUCAUGCGCGAUGACGUACGAUCUCAUGUAGUACGGUUGUCCUGGGUCAUCAGGGUCAUUCGUAUACGAUACUCACUC